rnacentral:misc_RNA from 1 species
AGUUGAAAAUGACCACAAAUUUGAUAUUUGAAGAAUGGAUUUUAGGUUGAAAAAUGGCACGGAGGGACAAGAUAACUAUUAAGUUGCACUUAUACCGUUCCUAUCUAAAGGUUAGGAUUAUUCAAAAAAAGUGAGGCAAACAAAAGGGCUAUGUUAGGGUUAGGGUAAAGCCAUGAAUCCAAUAAACGAAAAAAUACAAUGGAUAAAAUUUGACCUAAAUUCGAUUGAAAAACCACAAAAAGGUUAGCAGAUAGUUGUAAUUGGAGACUACUAAAAGAACGUAUGACGUAAAGAGACUAUUCUUACUUUUUACAAACCUGACAAGCAAAUUAUAUUUAAACAAGUCAAAUUAGUUGAUACUGUAAGUUGAACAUUGUUUGAUAAUUGGAUGAAAUGAUUAUUUGGAUAAAGGAGAGUGUCAAACAAGAGACCAUAGUUGUAUUCUGGAAUAGCAAACAGCGUUCUUUUCCAUUGUCAAAGGUGGUUGUUGAUGCUGGACUGAUGAUUCUAAAAGAGGAAAAUGGACAGAGAAUAGGAGAGUACUUACAUUUGAAGGUCAAUUUGCUAAAAAUCUUAUAAAAAUAGAGAUAAUUACGUUAAAAGAAAAUUAUUUAUUUGAAAUGAAGAACCUCUAUCAUUGACUAAACUUGAACAUAAGAACAAAGAAUAUAUUCAUCAUUUAUCUUAUUGCCAACAAAAAUAUUAAGCAUUUCUAACUCAUUGCCAGUAUUUCCAUUAAAAAUGCAAACUCUAUCAAUUUUAUAAGUCUUUUCAAGGUCAACUGCAAACCAAGAAUGUUGAUUGGUGUCUUUGUGAGUCUUGGCAUAUUCGUAAUAAUCCUGAAAAUGGCAAAAAAAUAUAAAAGAGAAAGAUUUUGCUUUUGCAAAAAGGACAAAAAUGAAGAAUAAUAGAAAUAGAAUCAAGGCAAAAAAAUUUCAUUACUUAUUGCUCUGGAAAUGUUUAUCAUGUUUUUCAACAAAUUCAAAUUCAAAGUUGUCAAUAGAAUCGUCCGUUGAGCCCUUAGAAAUUGUUCUUGAUUUGCGCAAAGAUCAAAUGGAAGACCCUGUCUUUAUUUUCAGGUGUGAUAGAAGAUCGAUGGUAUUGAAAUGUCCAUAUGGUCAGUUAAGCCUUCCUGAAGACGCAACAGGAAAAUCCUGUUGAGAUUCAUUGCACGAGAAAAUUUACAAAGCUAACGACAUUCUCCCUGAUAUUAAGAAAAAAUUUGGGAAAGACAAACAAGCGUUUGUUGAAUCAAUAGUUUGGAUGAGCAAACAUUUACAAAAAAAUGUAAAUUAAAUAUUCCAUUUCUGUCUUCAAGGCCAGAAAAGUUUUUGUAUUUCAUAAACGAAAACAGAAUUAUGAGAAAGUUAACAUUUUUAAUUUUUAGAAAAGAUAAGUCAUUUUCUUUAUUCAUAUCGUUUCAGGAAAAUUCUUUUUCCAUCUUUUCUACAAUAUUUUUAAUGAAAGUUGAACAGAACGUUUACACAUUAUGAGUCAGUGAAUGUAUGUCAGUAUGUUAACGUCACUUAAAGGGGGAGCUUGACUUAGCCAAAGCUAGGAUAAUCCAGUUGACUUGAUGUCAAAUCACCGGGGUAAAUUAAGUCUCUCGUGCAAAACAAAAUGCAAAGAUUUUCAUUUAUUUUAUAAUGCCGUAAAUUUGUUGACAUUUUCAACCAUACCUGUUUGGUAUAUGUCCCCAGGAUAUGUUUCAAAGGGAAAAAAAUAUAUAUUUUAUUCCUUAUGAAUAAGUCUAUAAAAGUCUGAAAAUUCUUGAAUAAUUUAAAUUCAAUUAAAUAAUUUAAUUCAUAUACAGCAAAAUUAAUUCCAGAACUUUCCAUAAUUAAAAUUUACCUUAUGAUUCAUUCUCACUGAGUUUGUUUAUGCCUACUUGAUUGUAGCCUAACAUUAGAUUAUAUAAACCUAUGAUUAUGAUGAUAAAAAAGAUUUGUAUACAACUUUCUACAGUAAAUGUAAAGUUAAUCAGUGUUAACCCUAUUAUAACACAAGACAAUGGCGUCAAGUAAUCAAUCGUUUGUCUUUUGUAAUUUGCAUAAGGAAGAGAGAAUGGAUACCCAGGAUUCAUUUUAUAUUAGCAAAGCUAAUGGAUUUAGAAUUUUUAAAUUUUUUAUAAUCUUAUAUUGAAAUCUCAAAUUUAUCACGUGAUUCAUACAUUAUCAAUGAAUUUAUUGAUUGUUUGAUUAAUUGAUUAAUAAUUGGCAUUUUCUUUAAUUAAAAAGACUUGAUGUUAUGUCAGAAAGACAGUGACACUGAUUCUCUUAGUCUUAAUACUGAUAUGUAUUUCAUCUCUUUUACUCUAUUUUUACAAUUUUUUGUAACAGUUGAAUGCUCAACACCAGUUUACAGCAGUUGUUUAGCUGCUCUUCUUUUGAAUGAUUACAAUACUUCCACAUAUCAAAUUCAACCUUUAACAAAUGGUAAUAUAGCUACGGUUGUGUGCUCUUUUGUGGCUGGUGGAUAUGCUCAAAUUGAAAUUGAUGCUAGUGGACAGCAAGAUGUUAUAAUCAGGACAACAUCGCUAGGCGACUUUGCUACUAAAGAUAUUGAUAUUUCAUAUUCAACGUUAAAUUUUACUGAAUUAAGAGAAAUAGUUUUAAAUUCUGGCAAUUGUUCCCAAGACAUGUACCUUAAAACCGAAGGUACUAUAUCCUCAUUACUAUCUUUUAAGUUUCUCGAUGAAACAAUCUAUAAUUUACAUGGAGCUAACGACGGUUUUUGUAAAUGUAUAACAUCUGAGGUGUGUACAAAUGAUAAAACUAAGAAAUGCAUUGAUACUGGAUCACAUGCCAAUAAUCAAAAUUAUCUUCUUUCUGGUAAACUAUCAGUUUUCUCCAAGAGACUACCGCUAGUUCGAAUCACAUACGGCGAUUUAAACGAUGCUGGUGAGUGGGCCAAACAUAUUGUUAAACCUUUGAAGUGCAGAAAUAAAAUAGAUGAAAAGAUAAGAGUAUUAUCAAAGAGUAAAUGCAAUCAAGAUGUAAAUGUUCUUAUUGACAAAGAUAGAGAAACUUGCAUUGAAAUUGCCUACAAAUCGUAUAUGCAAAUUCAAUUUCCUUACUUUCAGAAUAUUAAUAUAAUAUCAUCUUUUAAUAAUACUUUAUCAGUAACAAUUUAUUCAAAACUACUCAAUCAACACGGAAAAGUUUUAUUAUGUAAAAAAGGGAGUUAUUUAAAUUUUUAUUGCCAGCAAAGAUCAAACGAGAUAUUUAUUGAUAUUUUUCACAAUAAUCUCUUGAAUAGCUCAGUGAAACUUUGCGAAAUUGAAACAUAUUUAUUACAUAAGUGAUAUGAGAGAAACAUUUUGAGUUGUCUUUAUUAAUAUUGCUGUUACUUUCUGUCUAAGUUAUAUCAAUACACACUAUUCUUUUACUCUUCCAGA